GUGUCAGCCGCCGCGGUAAUACGAAGGGGACUAGCGUUGUUCGGAUUUACUGGGCGUAAAGCGCGCGUAGGCGGAUCGCUAAGUCAGGGGUGAAAUCCCAGGGCUCAACCCUGGAACUGCCUUUGAUACUGACGGUCUGGAGAUCGGGAGAGGUUGGUGGAAUUCCGAGUGUAGAGGUGAAAUUCGUAGAUAUUCGGAGGAACACCAGAAGCGAAGGCGGCCAACUGGCCCGAUACUGACGCUGAGGCGCGAAAGCGUGGGGAGCAAACAGGAUUAGAAACCCCCGUAGUCC
rnacentral:rRNA from 1 species